rnacentral:rRNA from 1 species
UACGUAGGGUGCGAGCGUUGUCCGGAAUUAUUGGGCGUAAAGAGCUCGUAGGCGGCUUGUCGCGUCGAAUGUGAAAUCCCGGGGCUCAACCCCGGGUCUGCAUUCGAUACGGGCAGACUAGAGUUCGGUAGGGGAGACGGGAAUUCCUGGUGUAGCGGUGAAAUGCGCAGAUAUCAGGAGGAACACCGGUGGCGAAGGCGGGUCUCUGGGCCGAUACUGACGCUGAAAGGCGAAAGCGAGGGGAGCAAACGGG